rnacentral:rRNA from 1 species
UAUUGAAAUAAACCUGAUGAGUUGCUGCUGGCUCUCUAGAGAGCAUGUGCACACUUGUCGUCUUUAUAUAUCUCCACCUGUGCACCUAUUGUAGACCUGGAUAUCUCUCUGAAUGCUAGCAUUUNGGUAUGAGGAUUGGCUUUCCGCCUCUCCNUACAUUUUCAGGCCUAUGUUAUUUCAUAUAACCUCAAUGUAUGUUAUGGAAUGUAAUACUAUGGGCUUCUGUGGCCCUAUAAACCUUAUACAACUNUCAGCAACGGAUCUCUUGGCUCUCGCAUCGAUGAAGAACGCAGCGAAAUGCGAUAAGUAAUGUGAAUUGCAGAAUUCAGUGAAUCAUCGAAUCUUUGAACGCACCUUGCACUCCUUGGUAUUCCGAGGAGUAUGCNUGUUUGAGUGUCAUUAAUAUAUCAACCUCUCAAGCUUUUGCUUGUGGAGUGUAUGGAUGUGGGGGGAAUUAUUUUGCUGGCCUUUUUUAUGAGGUUGGCUCCCCUGAAAUGCAUUGGCAGAACGAUUUGUUGACCGUUUAUUGGUGUGAUAACUAUCUACGCUGUUGACGUGAAGCAAGUUCAGCUUAUAACAGUCCAUUUACUUGGACAACAUAUUUAUUAAUGUGACCUCAAAUCAGGUAGGACUACCCGCUGAACUUAAGCAUAUCAAUAAGCGGAGGAAAAGAAACUAACAAGGANUCCCCUAGUAACUGCGAGUGAAGCGGGAAAAGCUCNAAUUUAAAAUCUGUCAGUCUUUGG